UACGGGGGGGGGCAAGCGUUGUUCGGAAUUACUGGGCGUAAAGGGCUCGUAGGUGGCCAACUAAGUCGGAACGUGAAAUCCCUCGGCUUAACCGGGGAACUGCGUCCGAUACUGAUUGGCUUGAGUUUGGGAGAGGGAUGCGGAAUUCCAGGUGUAGCGGUGAAAUGCGUAGAUAUCUGGAGGAACACCGGUGGCGAAGGCGGCAUCCUGGACCAAUACUGACGCUGAGGAGCGAAAGCCAGGGGAGCAAACGGG
rnacentral:rRNA from 1 species